rnacentral:rRNA from 1 species
UUCUUGGAUGAGUUGCGAACGGGUGAGUAACGCGUAGGUAACCUGCCUUGUAGCGGGGGAUAACUAUUGGAAACGAUAGCUAAUACCGCAUAACAAUGGAUGACACAUGUCAUUUAUUUGAAAGGGGCAAUUGCUCCACUACAAGAUGGACCUGCGUUGUAUUAGCUAGUAGGUGAGGUAAUGGCUCACCUAGGCGACGAUACAUAGCCGACCUGAGAGGGUGAUCGGCCACACUGGGACUGAGACACGGCCCAGACUCCUACGGGAGGCAGCAGUAGGGAAUCUUCGGCAAUGGGGGCAACCCUGACCGAGCAACGCCGCGUGAGUGAAGAAGGUUUUCGGAUCGUAAAGCUCUGUUGUAAGUCAAGAACGGGUGUGAGAGUGGAAAGUUCACACUGUGACGGUAGCUUACCAGAAAGGGACGGCUAACUACGUGCCAGCAGCCGCGGUAAUACGUAGGUCCCGAGCGUUGUCCGGAUUUAUUGGGCGUAAAGCGAGCGCAGGCGGUUUGAUAAGUCUGAAGUUAAAGGCUGUGGCUCAACCAUAGUUCGCUUUGGAAACUGUCAAACUUGAGUGCAGAAGGGGAGAGUGGAAUUCCAUGUGUAGCGGUGAAAUGCGUAGAUAUAUGGAGGAACACCGGUGGCGAAAGCGGCUCUCUGGUCUGUAACUGACGCUGAGGCUCGAAAGCGUGGGGAGCGAACAGGAUUAGAUACCCUGGUAGUCCACGCCGUAAACGAUGAGUGCUAGGUGUUGGAUCCUUUCCGGGAUUCAGUGCCGCAGCUAACGCAUUAAGCACUCCGCCUGGGGAGUACGACCGCAAGGUUGAAACUCAAAGGAAUUGACGGGGGCCCGCACAAGCGGUGGAGCAUGUGGUUUAAUUCGAAGCAACGCGAAGAACCUUACCAGGUCUUGACAUCCCGAUGCUAUUUCUAGAGAUAGAAAGUUACUUCGGUACAUCGGUGACAGGUGGUGCAUGGUUGUCGUCAGCUCGUGUCGUGAGAUGUUGGGUUAAGUCCCGCAACGAGCGCAACCCCUAUUGUUAGUUGCCAUCAUUCAGUUGGGCACUCUAGCGAGACUGCCGGUAAUAAACCGGAGGAAGGUGGGGAUGACGUCAAAUCAUCAUGCCCCUUAUGACCUGGGCUACACACGUGCUACAAUGGUUGGUACAACGAGUUGCGAGUCGGUGACGGCGAGCUAAUCUCUUAAAGCCAAUCUCAGUUCGGAUUGUAGGCUGCAACUCGCCUACAUGAAGUCGGAAUCGCUAGUAAUCGCGGAUCAGCACGCCGCGGUGAAUACGUUCCCGGGCCUUGUACACACCGCCCGUCACACCACGAGAGUUUGUAACACCCGAAGUCGGUGAGGUAACCUUUUGUAGCCACACGCUAUC